rnacentral:antisense_RNA from 1 species
AGUUAUCUAAAUUAGUAGUAUAGUUGCUUUGAAAUGUAUUAAAAAUAUUUUGGUUUUUAAAGUUAAAGAUAUCAAUCAUUUGAUAAGGGGUAACUAGUCAAGAAUAUAUCUGUCAUUCAGUAGACGAGUUUUUUGCAAAAUUAUAAGCAGUUCUUAGAUAUUCAGUUUGUUUUUGACUAAAGGUUGGUUCGUCAUAACCGUUUGGUAAGAUAUAAAAAUUAUCCUGAUUAUUAUUUAGAUAAAAUGUUUCUACAUUAGCUUCAUUUCCAGCUGGUUGUAAUAACCUUUUUGUAUUCAGAUAGAAAGCUAAAUUGUUUGCUGACGAAGUAGACUGUGAGCUUACAAUACUACCACCAAUAAUUAAAGGCGAGAUGAUUGUUAAUGGGAUCGCUAAGGCAAUCUUUCCAUUGAAUUUAUAACCGAUGAUUGAAGCAAACAACCCAAAAAUUAAAAAAGCAAAAAAGAAAACCGUAAAUGAAAGUAACACAAUCAGUGUUAAGUUUGUUUCUUUUAGAUUUAAAACUAAAAUUAGAUUGCUAACCAUCAUUAAUAUUGCUCAAUAACAAUCAAAAAUAAUAAAAACGAUAAAUUUAGCAAUAAAAAUAUCCCUUCGGUUAAUCGGUUUACUAUAUGUAAGUAAUUCCAAUCCUUCUUCUUCUAAAUCUUUAUAAAUAUUUAAUGCUUUUAAACUCGCAUAAAAGAUUGUUAGAAUCAUUUCAGCAAAGAUAAUUGCAUAAAUAGUAAAGUUCUUAAAACGAUCUGGAAUCUGAACUACUGAUAAUAUAAUGCUAAAGAUAAUUGCUAAAGCAAAAAAGACAAUUGGUAAGACGUAACUGCUUUUCUUUUUUAACAUAAUUUUAUGUAAAAAAUAUACAUAACUUUUUACUGAUUUCAUAUUAACUACUAAAUGAUAAUAAUAAGUGGAAUAAUCAACGAUUGCGUAUGUUUUAAAUAAUUAAUAAUUUAGUAG